AACGAACGCUGGCGGCAGGCCUAACACAUGUAAGUCGAACGCUCCAGCAAUGGAGAGUGGCAGACGGGUGAGUAACGCGUGGGAACCUUCCCUAUGGUUCGGAAUAGCUCAGGGAAACUUGAGGUAAUACCGGAUAAGCCCUUCGGGGAAGGAUUUAUCGCCAUUGGAUGGGCCCGCGUAGGAUUAGCUAGUUGGUGAGGUAACGGCUCACCAAGGCGACGAUCCUUAGCUGGCUGAGAGGAUGAUCAGCCACACUGGGACUGAGACACGGCCCAGACUCCUACGGGAGGCAGCAGUGGGGAAUAUUGGACAAUGGGCGCAAGCCUGAUCCAGCCAUGCCGCGUGAGUGACGAAGGCCUUAGGGUUGUAAAGCUCUUUUGGCGGGGGAAGAUAAUGACGGUACCCGCAGAAUAAGCUCCGGCUAACUUCGUGCCAGCCGCCGCAGU
rnacentral:rRNA from 1 species